UACAGAGGUCUCAAGCGUUGUUCGGAUUCAUUGGGCGUAAAGGGCGCGUAGGCGGCGGGGUAAGUCUGGUGUGAAAUCUAUGGGCUCAACCCAUAGUCUGCACUAGAAACUGUCGGGCUUGAGUAUGGGAGAGGUGAGUGGAAUUUCCGGUGUAGCGGUGAAAUGCGUAGAUAUCGGAAGGAACACCUGUGGCGAAAGCGGCUCACUGGACCUAACUGACGCUGAUGCACGAAAGCUAGGGGAGCAAACAGG
rnacentral:rRNA from 1 species